rnacentral:rRNA from 1 species
AUUGAACGCUGGCGGCAGGCUUAACACAUGCAAGUCGAGCGAGCGGCGGACGGGUGAGUAAUGUCUGAGAAACUGUCUGAUGGAGGGGGAUAACUACUGAAAACGGUGGCUACUACCGCAUACCAUCAGAUGUUCCCAGAUGGGAUUGGCUAGUAGGUGGGGUAACGGCUCAACUGGGCGACGAUCCCUAGCUGGUCUGAGAGGAUGACCAGCCACACGGGACCUGAGGCACGGUCCAGACUCCUACGGGAGGCAGCAGUGGGGAAUAUUGCACAAUGGGCGCAAGCCUGAUGCAGCCAUGCCGCGUGUGUGAAGAAGGCCUUCGGGUUGUAAAGCACUGUCAGCGAGGAGGCGUUACUCGCAGAAGAAGCACCGGCUAACUCCGUGCCAGCAGCCGCGGUAAUUC